rnacentral:lncRNA from 1 species
AGUUUUGAUGUUGGAGGUUACCUUGUUGGUGGCUUUAGCCAUGAGGCACUUGGCGGUGAUGCUUUCGUUGGGUGAGUCGAAAAGGGACACUCGUGACGUUGUUGCAAUGGCGACGGAGGCCAUGGCAACCGACUCAUCAUCUUCAUCAUCGUCAUCAUCCUCAUUGUACUCUUCUUGCACAACCAAGGCCUUGGGAGGAGUCUUCUUGGUGAAGUUGUUCUUGUUGGGGAACGACUUGGCCUUGUCCUUUCAGAUGAGUUUGCCACCAUUGUCUUCCCUGUUCUCAUACGCGCAUUCCGCAACGAAAUGACUUACGUUGCCGCAAUUGUAGCAAGUCCUUACACGUUGCUUGCCCCUUGUGCCACUCGAGUUGUUUUUGCUAAAGUUGGGCCUUGAGUUUUUCUUGCUCCAAAAUUGCCUUGAAGCAAGUGCCAUAUGUUCAUGAUAUGCAUACUUCGUAUCUUCGGGGUUGCUCUCCUCUUCUUCCUCUUCUUCUUCUUCCACGGUGAGCUUGGCCUUCAAUGCAAGGUUAGGCUUCUUUGCCCGUUGAGAACGGAGCACCGCAUUGUCGGCGGUCUUGUCCAAAAUGUUCAUGGCCACAAACUCAUCCAACACUUCGCUUGAGGUCAAAGUGUGGAAGUCCGGUCUUUGACGAAUGACGGAGGACAUGGCCUUGUGGUAGGGCAUCAUCGCCUUGAGGAAUUUCCGCUUGAUCCAAUUGUCAUCCGUGUCCUUGCUCCCGUGAUCUCGUAGUGAGACCGCGAGUUUGGUGACUCUCCAAUAGAGCUCACGAGGUUCUUCAUCUUCCUUCAUUGCAAACUCAUCGGCCUCAUCUUGUACCACUUCAUAGUUGGACCGUUGAAUGCUUGCGCUUCCCCGGUAGAGAGACACGACACAAUGACAUGCAUCUUUGGCCAAGGCAAAGGGACGAAGAUGAGGUAGGUCUUCGGGUGGAAAUGCAUCUUGAAUGAUGAAGAGAGCAUUCUUAUUGAAUUGAUUGUCCGCGGCUUCUCGAGGAGUGAAGUUGCUUGGAUCAUGUGGAUAGAAACCUUCUUCAAUGAUUCUCCAAAGGUUAGUGUUCACAUGAUUUAAAUGACGUUUAAAGCGGUAAACCCAUGAAUCAAAAUCCUCAUUUUUCACAAUCUUAAGGGGAGGACCGGCAUGAUUCAAAUGAGUGGAAGGAACCGGUCCACCAUAAACAAGUGGUGGUUCCACAUGGGCAAAGAUGCCGGUGCCAUUCUUGCCACUAGAAGAAGGAGCCUUUUCACUACUAGCUUCCCCCUUUUCAGGGAUAGCAUCCAACACCUUGUUGGCGGGAUCCCCCACUUUCAACGGUGCGGUUGAUAGUUUAAGCCCCUCAAGAAAUUUAGUAAACAUGCUUUCAACUUCGGUCGUCAUGGAGGUUUUCAAUGUCUCCAAGGCUACAUUGAACUCCUCACGAGAGACCGAAGUUCCCCCAUCGCCCGUAGACGAGAUAGGAUUCACACUGAAGUGUUCCUCCGCUCCGUCUACGGUAUCAACCAUACUCUUCGGACGGUAAAGUCCUUAAUAAAGAGACGAGGCUCUGAUACCAAUUGAAAGGAUCGAUAUGGUUGACUAUAGGGGGGUGAAUAGGCAACUAACAAUUUUUAGCUUUUCUUUAGCAAUUUAAACUUUGCAUCAAAAUAGAUUAUCUAGACAUGCAACUAGAUGAGCAACCUAUAUGAUGCAACACGAAUAGGAACACAAGCAAGCAAGAUAUAUGAAACAAAUAAGCUACACAAGUAAAGGCACGAGAUAACCAAAAGUGGAGACGGUGGAGACGAGGAUGUGUUGCUGAAAUUCCUUCCCUUUGAGAGGAAGUACGUCUCCGUUAGAGCGGUGUGGAGGCACAAUGCUCCCCAAGAAGCCACUAGGGCCACCGUAAUCUCCUCACGCCCUCACACAAUGCGAGAUGCCGUGAUUCCACUAUUGGUGCCCUUGGAGGCAGCAACCGAACCUUUACAAACGAGGUUGGGGCAAUCUCCACAACUCAAUUAGAGGCUCCCAACGACACCACGAAGCUUCACCACAAUGGACUAUGGCUUCGCGGUGACCUCAACCGUCUAGGAUGCUCAAACACCCAAGAGUAACAAGAUCCGCAAGGGAUUAGUAGGGGGAAUCAAAUAUCUCUCGGUGGAAGUGUAGAUCGGGGCCUUCUCAACCACUCCCGAGCAAAUCAACAAGUUUGGUUGGCUAGGGAGUGAGAUCGGGCGAAAAUGGAGCUUGGAGCAAUAAUGGAGCUUUAAUGGUGGAAGAGGUAAGUCAACGGGGAAGAAGGAGACCCUUUAUAUAGUGUGUGGAAAAGAUCCAACCGUUACCCACCCACCAGCCCGCGGCCAGCGGUACUACUGCGCAUGGCUAGCGGUACUACCGCAAGGCCGCGCGGUAGUACUGCUUGCAACCAAGCGGUACUACCGCACGGUAGUGCGGUACUACCGUACCACCCUACGGUACUGCCGCGACCCCCAGCCAGGGAAAUAGACGCAAGAUGGGGCGGUACUUCUACCCGCGCGGUACUACCGCGCCAUCAGGGUGGUACUUCCGCCCGCGCGGUACUACCGCGCCAUCAGGGCGGUACUUCUGUGAGGCAAAAAGUCCCGAUAGGGGGGAGGGGAACUUCCGUGCAUACUUUCGCAAAAAACCGGAAGUAGCAAAAACUCGACACAGUAGUACUGCCGAGGGGCGGUACUACUGCCUGACCUCCUAGCGCGGUACUACCGCACGGAGAAAGCGGUACUACCGCGGCAGGUGCGGAUGUAAAAAAUUACAUCCGCUCCUACUACCGCACCCGGGCGGCACUAGCCGGGUGGGGCAGCGGUAGUAAGCCUCCGGGGGAGCGGUACUACCGUGAGCACCAGCGGUACUACCGUGCCACUGCGCGGUACUACCGUGGAUGCCCACGGUACUACCGUUAAUCCUGGAGCGGUACUACCGCAACCACACAAGCAGUCAGUCAACUAUGGCAGGAAAACGGAGGAAGCUCCAAGGAAGAAGGAGGGGAUAAAAGGAGACGUGUACGUGAUGAUUCCACCCAAACCUUUCCAACGCGGACCCCCUCUUAAUAGUACGGCUUUCCUACGACUCAAAUCCACCAAAAAGAAACGUAGAAAAGACACCGUCUUCGUCAGUCUUCGAGGGGCACCCAAUCGUCUUGUGCCUAGCAGAGAAGAGUCUGGAAAGCUCAUGGCACACGAUUAGUCCGCAAAUGCAUUGUCAUCAAUCACCAAAACACUUAGGGAUAAAUAUGACCUUACACCGUUGAUCAAAGAUGGUUAAAGUUUCCUAACCAUGGACAAAGAGUUGGCAUUUGAUAAACAGGAUCACAUCAUUAGAGAAUGAUGUGAUUGACUUGACCCAUCCAUUAGCUUAGCACGAUGAUCGUUUAGUUUACUGCUAUUGCUUUCUCCAUAACUCAUACAUGUUCCUAUGACUAUGAGAUCGUGCAACUCCCGAAUACCGGAGGAACAUUUAGUGUGCUGUCAAACAUCACAACGUAACUGGGUGACUAUAAAGAUGCUCUACAGGUGUCUCUGAUGGUGUUUGUUGAGUUGGCACAGAUCGAUAUUAGGAUUUGUCACUUCGAGUAUCGGAGAGGUAUCUCUGGGCCCUCUCGGUAAUGUACAUCACUAUAAGCCUUGCAAGCAAUGUAACUAAUGAGUUAGUUACGGGAUGUAGCAUUAUGGAACGAGUAAAGAUACUUGCCGGUAACGAGAUUGAACUAGGUAUGAUGAUACCGACGAUCGAAUCUCGGGAAAGUAACAUACCGAUGACAAAGGGAACAACGUAUGUUGUUAUGCGGUUUGACCGAUAAAGAUCUUCAUAGAAUAUGUAGGAACCAAUAUGAGCAUCCAAGUUCCGUUAUUGGUUAUUGACCGUAGAUGAGUCUCGGUCAUGUCUACAUAGUUCUCGAACCCGUAGGGUCGGCACGCUUAACGUUCGGUGACGAUCGGUAUUAUGAGUUUAUGUGUUUUGAUGUACCGAAAGUAGUUCAGAGUCCCGGAUAUGAUCACAGACAUGACGAGGAGUCUCGAAAUGGUCGAUACAUAAAUAUUGAUAUAUUGGAUGACUAUGUUUGGACAUCAGAAUUGUCCCGGGUGAGUUCGGGCAUUUACCGGAGUACCGAGAGGUUACCGGAACCCCCCGGGGAGUGUAUGGGCCUUGUUGGGCCUUAAUGGGAGAGAGGAGGAGGCAGCCUAGGAGGGCCCCCCUCCCAAUCCCAAUCCGAAUUGGGAAGGGGGGUCGGCCCCCCUUUCCUUCCUCCCUCUCUCCUCCUUCCUUCCUCUCCUACUCCUACUUGGAAGGGAGGAUCCUACUCCAGAUGGGAGUAGGACUCCCCUAGGGCACGCCAUAGAGGGUCGGCCCUCCCCCCUCCUCCAUUCCUUUAUAAACAGGGGAGGGGGCACCCCAUAUACACACAAGUUGAUCAUUGUCUUAGCCGUGUGCGGUGCCCCCUCCACCAUAAUCUACCUCGGUCAUAUCGUAGUGGUGCUUAGGCGAAGCCCUGUUCCGAUAGCUUCAUCAUCACCGUCAUCACGUCGUCGUGCUGAUGAAAAUCUUCCUCGACACUCAGCUGGAUCUAGAGCUCGUGGGACAUCACUGAGCUGAACGUUUGUAGAUCGCGAAGGUGCCGUACCUUCGGUUCUAGGAUCGGUCGGAUCGUGAAGACGUUCAACUACAUCAACCGUGUUGUCAUAACGCUUCCGCUUACGGUCUACGAGGGUACGUAGACAACACUCUUCCCCUCUUGUUGCUAUGCAUCACCAUGAUAGAUCUUGCGUGUGCGAAGGAUUUUUUUUUGGAAAUUACUGCAUUCCCCAACAUUAUGGACUGUCGGUGGCUGUGGUGCACACGUAAAUGGUGGUAUUAAUGAGUGAUACAUCUCCAAUGUAUCUAUAAUUUUUGAUUGUUCCAUGCUAUUAUAUUAUCAACCUUGGAUGUUUUGUAUGCAUUUAUAUGUUAUUUUAUAUGAUUUUUGGGACUAACCUAUUAACCCAGAGCCCAGUGCCAGUUUCUGUUUUUCCUUGUUUUAGAGUAUCGCAGAAAAGGAAAAUCAAACGGAGUCCAAUUGACCUGAAACUUCACGGAACUUAUUUUUGGAAGGAAAUCAACCCGGGAGACUUGGAGUCCACGUAAGGGAAGCAACAAGGAAGCCAUGAGGCAGGGGGCGCGCCCACCCCCCCUGGGCGCGCCCUCCACCCUCAUGGGCCCCUCGUGGCUCCCCUGACGUACUUUUUCCACCUAUAUAUCUCCAUAUACCCUAAAACGAUCAAAGAGCAUAAUAGAUCGAGAGUUCCGCCGCCAGAAGCCUCCGUAGCCACCGAAAACCAAUCUAGACCCGUUCCGGCACCCUGUCGGAGGGGGCAAUCCCUCUCCGGUGGCCAUCUUCAUCAUCCCGGUGCUCUCCAUGACGAGGAGGGAGUAGUUCUCCCUCUGGGCUGAGGGUAUGUACCAGUAGCUAUGUGUUUGAUCUCUCUCUCUCGUCUUCUUGAGGUGAUACGAUCUUGAUGUAUCGCGAGCUUUGCUAUUAUAUUUGGAUCCUAUGAUGUUUCUUCCCCCUCUACUCUCUUGUAAUGGAUUGAGUUUCCCCUUUGAAGUUAUCUUAUCGGAUUGAGUCUUUAAAGAUUUGAUAACACUUGAUGUAUGUCUUGCCGUGCGUAUGUGUGGUGACAAUGGGAUACCACGUGAUUCACUUGAUGUAUGUUUUGGUGAUCAACUUGCGGGUUCCGCCCAUGAACCUAUGCAUAGGGGUUGGCACAUGUUUUCGUCGUGAUUCUUCGGUAGAAACUUUGGGGCACUCUUUGAGGUUCUAUGUGUUGGUUGAAUAGAUGAAUCUGAGAUUGUGUGAUGCAUAUCGUAUAAUCAUACCCACGGAUACUUGAGGUGACAUUGGAGUAUCUAGGUGACAUUUGGGUUUUGGUUGAUUUGUGUCUUAAGGUGUUAUUCUAGUAUGAACUCUAUGGUUGUUUGUGACACUUAUAGGAAUAGCCCAAUGGAUUGAUUGGAAAGAAUAACUUUGAGGUGGUUUCGUACCCUACCAUAAUCUCUUCAUUUGUUCUCCGCUAUUAGUGACUUUGGAGUGACUCUUUGUUGCAUGUUGAGGGAUAGUUAUGUGAUCCAAUUAUGUUAUUAUUGUUGAGAGGACUUGCACUAGUGAAAGUAUGAACCCUAGGCCUUGUUUCCUAGCAUUGCAAUACCGUUUACGCUCACUUUUAUCAUUCGUUACCUUGCUGUUUUUAUAUUUUCAGAUUACAAAAACUAUUAUCUACCAUCCAUAUACCACUUGUAUCACCAUCUCUUCGCCGAACUAGUGCACCUAUACAAUUUACCAUUGUAUUGGGUGUGUUGGGGACACAAGAGACUCUUUGUUAUUUGGUUGCAGGGUUGCUUGAGAGAGACCAUCUUCAUCCUACGCUUCCUACGGAUUGAUAAACCUUAGGUCAUCCACUUGAGGGAAAUUUGCUACUGUCCUACAAACCUCUGCACUUGGAGGCCCAACAACAUCUACAAGAAGAAGGUUGUGUAGUAGACAUCAAGCUCUUUUCUGGCACCGUUGCCGGGGAGGUUAGCGCUUGAAGUUAUAUCUUUAGAUCUUGCAAUAGAGUCUUUUAGUUUCUUGUUUUAUCACUAGUUUAGUUUAUAAAAGAAAAUAAAAAAAUGGAAUUAAGUUUGCCUCAUACGCUUUAUCUUUUUAAUAUCUAUCAUGAGAAUAAGGAUUCGAUAAUUGUGCUCAAGUGCUGGAAGAAUAAUGCACUAGAAUGUUUGGCACUAAAUAUUUGAAUGAUGAGCAUGAUUGCAAUGUUGUUAGUAUAAAUUCCUUGAAUAUCCAUUAUGCUAAUGAUAUGCAAAGCCACAAGCUUGGGGAAGCUAUAUUUGAUGAAGAUGAUAUUUUUUUGUCCCCCAAGCUUUGAUGAGCAAAUUUAUUAUGAUGCGAACAUGUCUCCUAUUUAUGAUGAUUAUAUUGAUAAAAGUGGAUUCGGAGAGGUCAUGACUUUAUUUAGUAAUGAUUCCACUAUCUCGGAAGAGGUUCCAAUUGAUUAUGAGGACAAAGUUGCUAUCUAUGAUGAUUAUUGUGAUGACUUGUAUGCUAUAAAUAAUAAUGAUAUCCAUGAAACUUGUCAUCAUGAUUUUAGUUUUCAAUUGGAUUAUGCCUCACAUGAUAGUUAUAUUGUUGAGUUUGCUUCCACUAUUCCGAAUGAGAAGAAUUUUGCUUAUGUGGAGAGUAAUAAAAAUUCUAGGCUUGUAGAUCAUGAAAAGAAUGCUUUGUGUGAUAGUUAUAUUGUUGAAUUCAUUCAUGAUGCUACUAAAAAUUAUUAUGAGGGAGGAAUAUAUGCUUGUAGGAAUUGCAAUAAUAUCAAGUUUCCUCUCUAUAUGCUUAAAGUUUUGAAGUUAUGCUUGUUUUGCCUUCCUAUGCAAGUUGAUUCUUGUUCCCACAAGUUGUUUGCUGACAAAAUCCCUAUUCAUAGGAAGUGGGUUAGGCUUAAAUGUGCUACUCAUAUUCUUCAUGAUGCUCUUUUUAUGUUUCAAUUCCUAUCCUUUAUGUGAGCAUCAUUGAAAUCAUCAUGCCUAGCUAUGGGCGUUAAACGAUAGCGCUUGUUGGGAGGCAACCCAAUUUUAUUUUUGUCCAUUGAUUUUUGUUCCUGUUUAGUAAUAAAUAAUUCAUCUAGCCUCUUUUUAGAUGUGGUUUUAUGCUUUUAAUUAGUGUUUGUGCCAAGUAGAACCUUUGGGAAGAAUUGGGGAAAGUCUUUGCGAUCAUGCUGUAAAAAACAGAAACUUUAGCGCUCACGAGAAUUGCUGCCAUUUUUUUAUUGGAGAGUGUUAUUUAGUUAAUUCUUUUUGCAUAUGAUUAAUAGAUAAAUUACUCACGUCCAGCAAUUUAUUUGAGAAUUUUAUGAGUUCCAGAAGUAUACGUUUGAUACAGAUUACUAUAGACUGUUCUGUUUUUGAUAGAUUCUGUUUUCUAUGUGUUGUUUGUUUAUUUUGAUGAAUCUAUGAGUAGUAUCGGAGGGUAUGAACCAUAGAUAAGUUGGAAUACAGUAGAUAUUAUACCAAUAUAAUUUAGAAUGAGUUCACAACAGUACCUAAGUGAUGAUUUAUUUUCUUAUACUAACAGAGCUUACGAGUUUUCUGUUAAGUUUUGUGUUGUGAAGUUUUCAAGUUUUGGCUAAAGAUUCGAUGGACUAUGGAAUAAGGAGUGGCAAGAGCCUAAGAUUGGGGAUUUCCAAGGCACACCAAGGUAAUAUUCAAGGACAACCAAAAUCCUAAGCUUGGGGAUGCCCCGGAAGGCAUCCCCUUUUUCGUCUUCGUUCAUCGGUAACUUUACUUGGAGCUAUAUUUUUAUUUACCACAUGAUAUGUGUUUUGCUUGGAGCGUCAAUUUGUUUUGUUAGGAUUUUCUUGCUGUUAUUUAGAACAAUGUUUUGCAUCUUUUAUUUCAAUAAAAUUGGCAAUGAUAGUCUUUACUAUGCCUAUGUUACUAGUCUUCAUGUUGCUGUUUAAAAACAGAAAGUUUACCAUUGUUGCAAUAGUUCCCUAGAAAAGUCAGAAUGUGAUAAAAUGUUGAAACCUUUUGCAUAUUAAUCUCUGAUAAAUUUACUACAGUGGGAAUUUUCUUUCAUAAUUUUUUGGGUUAGGAAAGUAUGGAUCUUGCUGCACUCUUUACAGACUGUCCUGUUUAGGCAGAUUGCUAUUAUGUUUGCAUUGUUUGCAUAUGUUUACUUCUUUAAUGAUUCUAUUUGAGGAUAACACUAUUAAAUAUGCAGAGGAAUUUAGUAUGCAAUGUUGAAUAAUAAUUUUAGUGAUUUGCUACAGUAGAGUAUGAUCAGGUUUUUGCAAUGGUUUAUACUAACUUAUCUCACGAGUCCUUGUUGAGUUUUGUGUGGAUGAAGCUUUUGAGAUUUAGGGAGACCGUGAUAUAAGAGGAAUUAAGGAGACACAAAAGCUCAAGCUUGGGGAUUCCCAAGACAUCCCAAGAUAAUAUUUCAAGAAGUCUCAAGCUUCUAAGCUUGAGGAUGCCCCGGUUGGCAUCCCACCUUUCUUCUUCAACAACUAUCAGUUAGUUUUGGUUGAUCCUAAGUUUUUGCUUCUUCACAUGAUGUUUGAUAUUCUUAGAAUGUCAUUUUCUUUUGGUUUGCUUGCUGUUUGAAUAAAAUACCAAGAUCUGAAAUUAUUAAAUGUUAGAGAGUCUUCACAUAGUUGCAUAAUUAUUCCACUACUCAUUGAUCUUCACUAAUAUCUUUCGGAGUAGUUUGUUGUUGCUCUAGUGCUUCACUUACAUCUUUUUAGAGCACGGUGGUGGUUUUAUUUUAUAGAAAUAAUUGAUAUAUCAUGCUUCACUUAUAUUAUUUUGAGAUUCUUUUAGAAUAGCAUGGUAAUUUUCUUUGGUUAUGAAAUUAGUCCUAAUAUGAUGGGCAUCCAAGAUGGGUAUAAUAAAAAUUUUCAUAUAAAGCGCAUUGAAUACUAUAAGAAGUUUGAUACUUGAUGAUUGUUUUGAGAUAUGGAGAUGGUGAUAUUAGAGUCAUGCUAGUUGAGUAGUUGUGAAUUUGAUAAAUACUUGUGUUGAAGUUUGUGAUUCCCGUAGCAUGCACGUAUGGUGAACCGUUAUGUGACGAAGUCGGAGCAUGAUUUAUUUAUUGAUUGCCUUCCUUAUGAGUGGCGGUCGGGGACGAGAGAUGGUAUUUUCCUACCAAUCUAUCCCCCUAGGAGCAUGCGCGUAGUACUUUGUUUCGAUAACUAAUAGAUUUUUGCAAUAAGUAUGUGAGUUCUUAUGACUAAUGUUGAGUCCAUGGAUUAUACGCACUCUCACCCUUCCACCAUUGCUAGCCUCUCUAAUACCGUGCACCUUUCGCGGGUAUCAUAAACCCAUCAUAUACCUUCCUCAAAACAGCCACCAUACCUACCUAUUAUGGCAUUUCCAUAGUCAUUCUGAGAUAUAUUGCCAUGCAACUUUCCACCGUUCCGUUAUUAUGACACGCUUCAUCAUUGUCAUAUUGCUUGCAUGAUCAUGUAGUUGACAUCGUAUUUAUGGCAAAGCCAUCGUUCACAAUUCUUUCAUACAUGUCACUCAUGCAUCAUUGCACAUCCCGGUACACCGCCGGAGGCAUUCAUAUAGAGUCAUAUUUUGUUCUAAGUAUCGAGUUGUAAUUCUUGAGUUGUAAGUAAAUAAAAGUGUGAUGACCAUCAUUAUUAGAGCAUUGUCCCAGUGAGGAAAGGAUAAUGGAGACUAUGAUUUCCCCAUAAGUCGGGAUGAGACUCCGGACAAAAAAAAGAGAAAAGAAAGAGGCCAUAAAAAAGAAGAGAAAAGGCCCAAAUAAAAAAUAAAAAAAUAAAAAAAUGAGAGAAAAAGAGAGAAGGGGCAAUGCUACUAUCCUUUUACCACACUUAUGCUUCAAAGUAGCACCAUGAUCUUCAUGAUAGAGAGUCUCCUAUGUUGUCACUUUCAUAUACUAGUGGGAAUAAUUCAUUAUACAACUUGGCUUGUAUAUUCCAAUGAUGGGCUUCCUCAAAAUGCCCUAGGUCUUCGUGAGCAAGCGAGUUGGAUGCACACCCACUAGUUUCUUUUGUUGAGCUUUCAUACACUUAUAGCUCUAGUGCAUCCGUUGCAUGGCAAUCCCUACUCACUCACAUUGAUAUCUAUUUAUGGGCAUCUCCAUAGCCCGUUGAUACGCCUAGUUGAUGUGAGACUAUCUUUUCCUUUUUGUCUCCUCCACAACCACCAUUUAUUCCAUCUAUAGUGCUAUGUCCAUGGCUCAUGCUCAUGUAUUGCGUGAAGAUUGAAAAGGUUUGAGAAUAUCAAAAGUAUGAAACAAUUGCUUGGCUUGUCAUCGGGGUUGUGCAUGAUUUAAAUACUUUGUGUGGUGAAGAUGGAGCAUAGCCAGACUAUAUGAUUUUGUAGGGAUAGCUUUCUUUGGCCAUGUUAUUUUGAGAAGACAUGAUUACUUUGUUAGUAUGCUUGAAGUAUUAUUAUUUUUAUGUCAAUAUUAAACUUUAGUCUUGAAUCUUAUGGAUCUGAAUAUUCUUGCUACAAUAAAGAGAAAUACAUGAUGAAUAUGUUAGGUAGCAUUCCACAUCAAAAAUUCUGUUUUUAUCAUUUACCUACUCGAGGACGAGCAGGAAUUAAGCUGGGGGAUGCUGAUACAUCUACAACGUAUCUAUAAUUUUUGAUUGUUCCAUGCUAUUAUAUUAUCAACCUUGGAUGUUUUAUAUGCAUUUAUAUGAUAUUUUAUAUGAUUUUUGGGACUAACCUAUUAACCUAGAGCCCAGUGCCAGUUUCUGUUUUUUCCUUGUUUUAGAGCAUCGUAGAAAAGGAAAAUCAAACGGAGUCCAAUUGACCUGAAACUUCACGGAACUUAUUUUUGGAAGAAAAGCAACCCGGGAGACUUGGAGUCCACGUAAGGGAAGCAACGAGGAAGCCACGAGGAAGGGGCACGCCCACCCCCCUGGGCGCGCCCUCCACCCUCGUGGGCCCCUCGUGGCUCCCCUGUCGUACUUCUUCCGCCUAUAUAUCUCCAUAUACCCUAAAACGAUCAGAGAGCACAAUAGAUCGGGAGUUCCGCCGCCAGAAGCCUUUAUAGCCACCGAAAACCAAUCUAGACCCGUUCUGGCAUCCUGCCGGAGGGGGCAAUCCCUCUCUGGUGGCCAUCUUCAUCAUCCCGGUGCUCUCCAUGACGAGGAGGGAGUAGUUUUACCUCGGGGUUGAGGGUAUGUACCAGUAGCUAUGUGUUUGAUCUCUCUCUCUCUCGUGUUCUUGACGUGAUACGAUCUUGAUGUAUCACGAGCUUUGCUGUUAUAUUUGGAUCCUAUGAUGUUUCUUCCCCCCUCUACUCUCUUGUAAUGGAUUGAGUUUCCCCUUUGAAGUUAUCUUAUCGGAUUGAGUCUUUAAAGAUUUGAGGACAGUUGAUGUAUGUCUUGCCGUGCGUAUCUGUGGUGACAAUGGGAUACCACGUGAUUCACUUGAUGUAUGUUUUCGUGAUCAACUUGCGGGUUCCGCCCAUGAACCUAUGCAUAGGGGUUGGCACACAUUUUCGUCGUGAUUCUCCGGUAGAAACUUUGGGGCACUCUUUGAGGUUCUAUGUGUUGGUUGAAUAGAUGAAUCUGAGAUUGUGUGAUGUAUAUCAUAUAAUCAUACCCACGGAUACUUGAGGUGACAUUGGAGUAUCUAGGUGAUAUUAGGGUUUUGGUUGAUUUGUGUUUUAAGGUGUUAUUCUAGUACGAACUCUAGGGUUGUUUGUGACACUUAUAGGAAUAGCCCAACGGAUUGAUUGGAAAGAAUAACUUUGAGGUGGUUUCGUACCCUACCAUAAUCUCUUCGUUCGUUCUCCGCUAUUAGUGACUUUGGAGUGACUCUUUGUUGCAUGUUGAGGGAUAGUUAUGUGAUCCAAUUAUGUUAUUAUUGUUGAGAGGACUUGCACUAGUGAAAGUAUAAGCCCUAGGCCUUGUUUCCUAGCAUUGCAAUACCGUUUACGCUCACUUUUAUCAUUCGUUACCUUGCUGUUUUUAUAUUUUCAUAUUACAAAAACUAUUAUCUACCAUCCAUAUACCACUUGUAUCACCAUCUCUUCACCGAACUAGUGCACCUAUACAAUUUACCAUUGUAUUGGGUGUGUUGGGGACACAAGAGACUCUUUGUUAUUUGGUUGCAGAGUUGCUUGAGAGAGACCAUCUUCAUCCUACGCCUCCUACGGAUUGAUAAACCUUAGGUCAUCCACUUGAGAGAAAUUUGCUACUGCCCUACAAACCUCUGCACUUGGAGGCCCAACGACGUCUACAAGAAGAAGGUUGUGUAGUAGACAUCAAUGACGUCCCUGUUGUUUGGUAUAUUAGGAUUUGUUUUGCAGUGUGUCUCCUGUUUAGGGUUCGACAAAUUAUGUAUCACUCGAUUACAACUUUGCCAUGAUGUUGUUGCAUGCACACAAACGUUUGGAGAUGUAUUAUUGAUAGGCCAACGUCUGCAUGCAUGACUGAUACAUGCAUUAUGGAGCACACAAAGAAAAAUAAAUACAUAUGAAAACUACUGCAGUGCCUUCCUAGAGCGGCUAAGCUUCAGAGUUUGUGCAUGAACAUCAUGGCCAUGGCUCGCAGGUUCAGGAGCCCCAUGAUAAAAAUGUUCUUCGGCAAUGCUUGAUUCUGUUCAAGAAGAGAUAUGUGAUGGACCGAUGCAUGCGAAAUCAGAUGUCCCGAACGUACGCUGAAAGUAUUCUAUGUACUUGUUCUUCCACUUCCAGAAACUGCAUCCUCCAUGCUGCAACGGAAAAAAAAGAUUAGUCUGGAAUGAAGAACAUGGAUUGAAAGGAACUCCAUGUCGUAGCCCGUGUUGCAUUCAGGGAAACAUAUGAGAGGGAAAGGGGGAAACUGGUUGGCGGUGUGGUGUGAUGCAGGUGGUGUGGAGUACCAACCCAACCAUCUGAUUCAUACUAUUUGUACCAUUUGUAUAACUAUUUUGUCUACCUACUGAUUCCUUCAUUUCCAUAAGCUAGCGUGAUAUAAAAAAUUCAUUCAAAAAAGUGUAAUAUAAAAGUAACCCAACCAUCUUUAAUCCAGAGGGGAAAGGGAGAGGUUAGUGACAGAUCUGAACCUGCAUACAAAAGGGAGAGGGGAGAUGAUGGCAAAAUGAUGCAUCGGUGCUAGCCACGCCCAGCUGGAGAUGGGUCCCUCUUUCCCGUCCGUGACUAGAGGAUGUUGCCGCUUCACCCAUGCACAUCAGAGAACAAGCACGACCAGAGCAGCACGAGUGGCAAAGAGCUGGGGAUGGGAGGGAGGAGAGAGGGAUGGGGAUAGAUGGGAGAGUGAGGGGAGGAGAGUUCUACCUCCGCAACAGCGAGGAUGCCCACCGGCGAUGUCGACAGUGGCGACGGGGCUGCGAGAUCCAAUGUUGCAGGAGAGAGAGAGAGAGAGAGAGAGGCGUGACCUAUCCCCUCGCUGGUUUCCGCCUGGUGCAGUGAAUUGUCGGGUGCACGCAGAGGUCUCGUUUAAAUGCACAAGCCUGCCUUGUGGGCCAUCUGCUGGACAUGGACAGAGGUAAUACACGAGCUAUACCAGCUCGUCUGUGGUACCUGAAUAAAGGUUAUACGCGCUCGAUGUAUUUAAGUUGCACGAAUCACGUGGGAACGACCGGUGUUGAUAACAACCUCGCAUGGCUGCAUGUACACACGUGAUUUAUCGGACUCUAGACCUUCAAAGAUUUGACUGAAAUCAUGAGCAGUUCUUUUCUUUUCCAUUAUUAGGGACAGUGUGUAUCUUGACUGUCACAUCACAUUUGUAUUUGGGUGGUUUGGAACGGAAACUUUUGUUUGCAACAUAGCGUCUUCCUUUCUUUCUCUACCCAUGAACCAUGGACGUUGACGCUCGAAAAUUCACAGGGGCACUCACCUACCAAGCCCUGCCGCUCGUUCAAUUUGCCUCAUGGUUCAUAAAGUAAUUGAAUCCCGCAUGAGGACACAAUAAAAAAGAAAAACCCACAAAAAUAUUUAAGUUUUGAUGAUGACACUUACUGUUUUUGCAUCUAAAAACGCAAAAUUUCAACAAUUUUCAGAGAUAUAUUUUUUAAGCAAUUUGUCGUAGACACAAAAUAAUUGAUUUUUAUCAGUAGCUCGUACUAAGUUUCAAUAGUGAAACAACAUUUUUUAAGUCGUCAAAAUAUAUUCAAAAUGGAUCUUAUUUCAAAGAGCUGGUCACAAGAAACACAAAUAUGAAAACAUAACUCAAUUUGAAAUUUUUUAUUUAAAAGAUUUAGGACAUUGAAAUAAAAAACCAAAAGAAAAGCCGACACCAGGGGCAUGAGUGCCCCUCACUCGCGUGCUACAAAUCUUCGUCCCAUUGAUGCCUGGUGUAUAUAUGCGACCUUGUCACAACCACUUUGAUUUAUUCUCUUUGAUUGAUACCCAUUAAUCUUUUAUAUCUAAAUAGCUAACCUCCACUAACAUAUUUUUCUUAAUAUAUAAGCAUGCCACAUCAUCAAGCAACAUGCAUGACAAAAGACCCAUCACAACAUACAUUCAUACACAGGAAAAUGUCCACCUCAACAUGUAAAUAUAAAUGAGAUAUUUAAUAAAUAUUUUACAAUACAUUAAUCAAACACAAUAAAGCAUAUGGAUUUGCAAUUUUAGUUUUCAUAGUAUUACUAUUCAUGUUCCAUACAAAUCAAAUAUCAUCGAAAUAUAAUGCAAAUAUUCCCGUAACAACGUGUGAGGUAUCAUCUAGUUUUUUUUUGACCCAGGUAUCAUCUAGUUGUUAUAAAAGAAGUAAACUGCAUAUAAGAGCAUCUACAACAAGAGCUCCUAUAUCCGUCAAAUUGACCGCACUCCUCCCGUGGCCGCGCCGCCAUCCUCGCCCACCGUCAUAGAUGUCGUCCCCGACUACCAUGUCUGCCACAUGAAUGAUGCCUCAACGGAAUGUGGGGAUCUCGACCAUGGUGGUCACAUACAAGCCACCGUGCCGAAGAGAUGAUUGAAACAAGUGGGAGCAGUGGCCCCCUCUCCCUUAACACCAUGAUUUUGCAUGUUAUUUGCUACGAACAGUGGCAAAAUUAGUACUAAUUUGCUGCUAAAAAACUAUUUUCAACACUUUGGCCCUCCCCAACCUGUUUUAGUAGCACUUGGCCUCCCUUAUUUCUGGCUCCGCCACUCAGGAUCAAGUAAAAUGUCCACCACAUUGAGGGACAUUUUUUCAGUCAAAGAGGUGAAUAAGGAGCGCUCCAUGGGGGCACUGGAGUUUGUGGACCUGACGACGACGACGAUGACAACUAGCUUAGGUUUAUUUAUUAAUGUUUAGUUUUUGGUAAUACUCUAUAUAAGACUGGAAUUCUCGCGCCCGCCCACGGACAAAAUAUCCGUCUCACAAAAACCGAGUCCGUUUGGGUCGAGUUGGCCUUAUUUUUCCAGUGAAGUGUCACAAUGUGAAUGAUAAGUGGCGCACCAAUUCAAAUGGCUCGUUAUACCUAUUGCACGUUAUAGUAAAUCUAGGAGAGCAAGUAAAAUAACAAGCAAAAUAUGGUGGCACCAGAUCAUGGAAAAAAAUGAUUCAUGGCACCCACGAGCAUCAAAAUUUAGGAAUCACAACUAACUAUUCCACAGAAAAGGGUUACACCGCGAGACUGGAAAUAAGCACAAAAAAACAGGGGAGACAGCGAGCAUCAUCAAAACUAAAUGGAGCGAUCAUACGAAUACUAGAUCAAACCGGAUAAAUAGUAUCUACAAGCACACGGGUACAAUCUCUACUAAUAAGGAGAUACUAAUCACCAUCACCGAGUGACACACAGUAGCAGAUCUGGGCAAAAUGACACGAACGAACAAAUCACUAGUGAUAAAUAAAUGGAUCUAUAUGUGGUUGUACUAGGUAGGUCGACGGGGAAGACGGAGGCAGUCUCUUCAGUGGCGAACGGCGGCGAAGAGGAAGGCGGCACCGGAGGCGACGAGCGCAGCGGCGAGGGACGGCAUCGCGACGCCGGCGGCGGACACGGGGCUGGGCGCCGGGGCCUCCUGGGCGGAGACGACGGAGAAGGCGGCGACCGACAGGAUGGCGACGAGGGCCAGGGCCUUGGAUGCGACGGUGGAGGCGGCCAUCGCUUCGGUUGGUGGCAGCGACGAGCGACGUACGAGGAGGUGUGAUCUGUGGCGGCGGCGAGGGAUGGAGUAAGAGAGGAGAUCUUUGCUGGAGGUGGGGAAAGGCGCAGGGGUGGAGCGCUAUUUAUUGGGUGGAGUCGCCGGUUAGCGGGUCUGGAGGUGGCAGGCUGACAGCUGGCCAGCCUAGGGCGUUUAACACGUUUCCACAAUUUUUUUACAAACAAGUUUCAAAGAGGUUUUUCUUUCUUCUUUUUUUUGAAAGAAGUGCGGGAGAUACGGUGAUGCCCUAAACAAACGGUAAUACUAGAAUGGCCGUGCGUUGCCACGAGCUUUCUUAGUUUGUUUUCCUGAUUACACUUAUGAAUACAUUGCAUAUCUGUCUCUCGCUCCCCAACUCUAUGUGUCACCCUUCAUCUCUCUCCCUCCCCUUCUCUCUCCCACACUCCCUCUCUCCCUUUCUCUCCCUCUCUCUCUCUCUCACACACACACACUCCCCCUCUCCCAGGACUCCAAAUUUAUUUUGGCGCUCGCCGGCUACAGUAUAUGCUAGAAGCUAAAACAUUAAAGGGAAACAAUGUAAUAUAAUAAAUAAAGAAAAGGAUUAAAUAACACAGAUAAAGUUAAUGAAACUUUUGAAAGUAGCAACAAUGAUCUCCACACAUCAUAAGAUUAGUACAAAACUCGAUGGCUUCCGUCACAAAACUUUUUUGGAAAGUAGGUGAUGAUGAAAGUAAACCAAGACAUCGCCUGCAUUCUCCAUUUUAGGAUGGUUAGCAUAAGAAGAUCCAUCCGCCCAAUAGUACUUGACUCGAACACAAACUUCAUAUAAAUAGACUUAGAACAUCCAUAUUUAACAUUUCGUCAAAUCGGUGAUUUUUUCUAUAGCAAAAUUUUGUUGUUUCUCCUUAAGACCGCUCCAUUCAUCCCCAUCUCCUUGUUGUUCUCAACUUCCAACGUAGCCACGUGGGACUCAGCCCACUUGAUCUGCUCUUUAAUGCACCCACCUUCCAAGUGCUCCACCGCUCAAGAGCAAGUAUACUGGUGUAAACAAACAACUCUCAGCUCUUCCAUCUUGUUCCCGUGAAUCCAAAAAUAGUAGUUCACACCCAGGAGAAAUAAAAAUGAUGUCAUAAUUAGUAAACAAUUACAACUUUAAAGGAUGAAUAACAAUAGGAUCAUUAAAAAACAGAACCUCCACCCACUGCAACAUCCCAAAUUUUCAAUUUGGAAUGUUAUACACUAGACCAUCAUUGCAUAUCAUAUUUAUUGCAUUUUGGUUGAUCCUAAAAAUUUCACGCAACUCAAGGACCCUCGGAGAGAGUUGGGGAUUUCGUUAUUUUCAUAUUUGAGUUGUCUCAAAUUUUGGAAAUAGGGUCAUUUGAUUUUAUUUAUUUUAUCUUCAAUUGUUUCUAUUACAAAAAUAUGAGAGAGGGAAUAAAAUGACUUUCCCAAAAUAAAGAAAUAUUGAGGAUUUAAUAAAAAAAGCAAAUAAGAAUUUGUUUUGGUUUUAUUUGCUAUUUUAUUUGAAUUUAGGAAAAAUGUGUGUUUUUUCAAAAUUGCAUUUAGGCCCCAAAUAAAUAUUCAUCAUGUGCGGCUUGAUUUUAGAAGCCGGGGAAAAUUUAUUUCGGGAUUUUUAGAGUCUGUUUAGUAUUUCUUUUGGUUUUUUUCGAGCGUAAUUAUUUAAAAAAUAAAAGAGUCUGAACCGACCUUGGGCCGUAACCGGCCAGGACUCCCCUGGCCGGGCCUCUUAUAAGCCGCCCCGAGGCCCCCGGCCAAGCCCAAGCCGCGCCCCCUGCCCUAACCCUAACCCUAGCCGCCGCCGCCGCCCCGCCGCCCGCUGGACCCGUCGUCGGACCGCCGCCGCCGUUCGCCGGAGGUAGUUUUUUUUUUUGCCUCCGGUUUUUCUCGAAAAACCGUUCAGUUUUCCGACGGUUUUGUUCGUUUUUUUAGUUUCGGUUUUUUUUAAAUACAUCGGUUUUUCCGGUUUAUUUAAUUAGCGAGCGUUCGCCAGUUCGUUCGUUUUAACGAACGUUCGUCGUUUUUUUCUCUCGGAUUAAAUCCGCGAUUUUUCUGAUCGCGAUUUCUGAUCCGAUUUUCGUUUUAGUAUAUCUUUUCGCUCGUUUAUUGGAAUCAGGCGAUUCAAGCGCCUAGAGUUUUGUCUCGAAACCCUCUUUCCUUUUAACCAACUUAAGCAAGUUUUUGCCACUGUAAAAUUUGCCCUAGAUCCAGAAUAGUAAACGAAGCUUGUUUCUUUUGUCGUUUGUCUUUCGUUGCUUCGUUCGUUUGGAUUUUUUUUGCCAACCGGAGUUCUUAAGUUGAACUUUCUGGUUAUAUCUCUUAUGUGAGUUUUACCUGUGCAUUAAUUGAGUACUUAUUGUAUGCUUGUUUGUUUGCGAUAGAGUACCCGAAGUGCGCCGCUUACUACUUUGAAUCGCUAGGUUUCCCGGAUCAUCAGCAAGGCAAGUAACACUUUGAUCAUGUUUUUCCCACUACCCAAUUUUAUUGCAUUAGAUCAAUCCUCACACAAUGCAUGAUUAGGAACUAAUUAAAUUGUAGGUUUGGGAAGUAGUUGAGGUAGUACCUAUUACCUGUUAUUAUCAAACAUUUGGGAGUUACUUCUACAUUUGCUUAUUAUGCCAUGCUAUGCUAGUAGACAUGGAUUGGGUGAGUAUAUCCAUGAUAGUUGUGAGAUUGUUAAUUAAUGGUUUACUUAAGGUGACAACUUAAAUACAUAUCUGGGUGGAUUGAGGCACCUGGGUAUUCCAGGAUUGCCUGUUUUUUAUGGACCGCCAACCAGGCUCAAAGGGAUCAUGAGAUUAUUCAUGCUAGAAACUUUCGUGUGCAGCCACAAGCUAUUAUGGGCUCUAGCAUAGUUGACUAAAUUGUGCGAACUCUUACAGUGGUAGACUAGCAGAUGUAGGGGAUGUAGGUUGGUACGGUCUACCCGUUCGUAAGGUGCUAGCGCUUCUGAAAGACUAUGUCUCGAUCAUCCGUUUCUCAAACACCAUGUAGUGCGAGAAAUCCAAUGGAGGAGAUCGAGUCUUGUGGGGAAAAGUGCGCAAACCUCUGCAUAGUGUAUAAACUAAUCAUGGUUAGCCGUGUCCCCGGUUAUGGACAUCUUGAGUAUCUAAUACCUGGAUUAUCAUGUGAAUCUCAACAUGUUACUCUGAAAUUAAUUUUGUUGGGUUUUGUUUAAUGAUGAUGCUUAAAUGGGAUUGAGAAUGCUGUCAACCAUUCUCAAUGUUUAACAACUACCAUGAUAGUUAAAUAAAUUUAUUCCUUUGCAGUAGGGAAAAAUUGGUUUUCCGCAAAAACUGUAACCAUAGAGCUUUCCACCAGCCAAACAUGCAUAUAGAAUAGUCUGUUUCAUUUCAUUACUCUCUAUGUGUUACCUUGCCAGCAUAUUCCAUGUGCUGACCCGUUUCGGACUGCAACGUUAAUGUUGCAGACUUUUCAGACGACGAUUAAGGAGUUUUAGGUCGUGGUUCUAUACUCAGUGAUGCCGUUGGAGUUGAUGGACUCACUUAUCUUCCAAGCCUUCCGUUGUUAUCAUUAUUAGAUGGCCUUAAGCCAUAUUUAUUCUAAUAAGUUCUCUUUUGAGACACUCGAUGUAAUAAAUGUGCGAUUGCUACUCUGUUAUAAAUCCUUCAAGUACUGUGUGAUGUCAGCAUUACUGAUCAAGAGAUGACACCUGAGCACAGAGAUUAGACUGUUUGAGGUCUGGUCGCUACACCCACACAAGUAAUUUUACAACUUUCACUCCUCACAUGUGUUUAAAAAAUAUCGGAAUAUACACUACCAAUCCAAAAAUGCAGUCCAUUGCCUAAGUUCCUACUUGCUGCCGAGAUACUAACUUUCUCAUUUCCAUAUUUAAGCAGAUAUCAUGCAGAAGAGAUACUUUGGUAGAGCCAACAUUAGUAGAAUCACCUGGAAAACAGAACCUUCUGUCCAUUGUUCCUAGAGUACUACAUAUUGUUAACAACUAAGGUUCAAUAAGAAUAGUAGGUGUCGACGAAGAACUAACAAUAAGUAUAUCUUGUAACUUGUAUUCUUCAACGGUGUUUCUCAAAGAAUAUUAGAAUAGGUAAGUUAUUGAUAUUAGAAUUUUCAUUCUCGACAUUAAGGUUCCUGAUGCUCUGCACAAACUGGAAAAAGAUUAGCUACAAAACCAGUAUACUCGUAACACUCAAGUUCUCACAAUAUUUCACAGGUACACUACAAAUAAAUGCAUACCUGGGAAAUGUCGACAUUUUAACAUGCUGCAAUCAAGAAGAGUUUGCGCAUCGUGCUGGAUAGGUUUAGCUGCAUCAAAAUCUAAAUACUCUCAGAUUACUUGAGGUUGAGGUUGUAACUUAUUAGCAUUCUAUGUCCAAAAUUAGCAACCAUCCAUGAUUUAUUAUGAUUAACAAAUUUACUGGAUGAUGUGACCAAUGUGUCAUCUAAUAUUGAAUAUUGAGUGUUCUGCGUAAUGACUAAAAGAAAAUACAGAAACUUUCUACAUAUAUAUAACUGAAUAUGCGUAUAAUUAUCUUUAGUCACAACAUUUCCGUUGUGGAUGGCCUUGCUCGUGGACGCUGCUUGAGCUCGUUGAGCAGGGCCAUCUUCCUGAAUCAACAAAGAUUGGACUACAACGAAAAUUGAAAAUCAUUGUACGGUAUCAACAAAUAGACCGAAUGAUCGAGCGAUUUGAGCAAAGAUUCAGAAGUGGAAAAUAUCUUAAAUAAUAACCUGCCUAGUGAGAUAGUGCUGACUUGUUUGAUUACUUGUCCAGAUCAUCUGCAUAGUAAAUGUACUACUAUUCAUGGAAGAACUCUUCCUUUAUUAGUUCACCUGUUUGCUGACAAAAAACAAAGCUUGUAUAUUUGAUGUCUAAUUCAACUAAGGAACAAGAUAAGUUUCAGCCGAACCAACAAAUAACUUAAUACCAAAGGUGGAUGCGCCGCCCAUCCCGCCGACGUAACCAUUCCUCCCUCCUAGCCGCCACAGGAGGGUGGCGCCGGGCAAGCUCAUGAUGCAGCUGGGGAUUGUGGCGACGGGGCCCGUGCUGCUCCUGCCCGGCGAAGGAGAGCCCUAGUUCUAGGGUGACAACCCCUCUGCUUGAUGGUCUUGUUGAUUGGUCGACUGACCAGCGGUGGAUUAGGGCCAUGGCAUAGCUGGCCAGGUGGCUGACGGUGCCAAUUCUGGUAGCUACUCAUCUUCCCUGCUCGGUGUGCUUUCCUCCCGCCGGAUUUUGGCCGAGCUAGCUGGCUGGCCAGGCCUCAGACUGCGGGCGGAGCUUGGGGUGGGGAUCCAGAUCGGGAGAAAUCACUGGUUGGCUCUGGCAUGAAAUGUCGAGGCAUAGUAAGCUACUUUCGAGCGCCUAUGUAUCUUUCCAUUUUAUGUUGUUCUUGUGUUAUGUUGGAUGUUGCAGCUUUAUCAGCCAAGCUAGAUCCCUUCUCAGGCUCAGCCGCGUCUUUUCUCUAACAAAUAACUUAAUACAUACUGAAACAGUAAAGCUUAUUUAAACCAUGAACACACCUAUUCAUUAUAUUAGCAAUGAUCAAGAUGGGCUGAAGGGCUAUGUAUAAAACGAAGUAUCAACUAACUUGGUGUCACAAUUUUGAAGUGUUAACAAUUAAAAUAAUUCAAAUGAAGAACUUAAUGGUAAGUGGGUUGCUAAUCAAUUUAAUUACUACCUAGAAUCCUCGGUUUCUAUUUCCUAAAGGUCUACGUAUAAAACGAAGUAUCAAUUAACUCGGUGUCACAAUUGUUCAUGUUCUGCUUAUGUUGAGAUGAUGUGUUCGGACAAAAAAUACCGGUGAGACAAACAACUAUAUGAAUGAAGUGGUUUGCUAUAGUUUGAUAAUUAGACAAAAUUACUUGACCAGUAUCAUAACAUACAUAAUCUAACUCCCAUUUUAAGAGCAUCAUGUAAGUGCUUUUAUCAUGUGAUAAAAUGUCUUCUUGUCAGGUACCUGAUUACAAAGGUUUGUUUGUCAUCUGGUUGAUCUGUUAUGCGAAUAACAGAUAAGCUGCUAACAUCCCAACUUAGUGAACAACAUUGGUAUCUCCAGGUUGCAGUGAACAACAUUGGUAUCUCCAGGUUGCAGUAAACAACAUUGCAAUAAUCAAAUAAUCAGAAGUUGUAACUUAUAUCUCCAGGUUGCAGUAAACAACAUUGGUAAUAUUUUUAGAGUAGCAUGAGCAAAUUAUCUCCAUUAAUCAAUAGAGCAUACCACAUUCCAAUUUAUUAAGUUGGGAGCCUGUUCGCAGAUGGAAAUGGCAACACGACAUGUCCUCCAUAUCAGCCUAACAAAAAAAGUAACACCAAAUAUCAUCAUUAGGAAACAAAUGAAAUAUUUGGUUGCUUUCUUUGAUGUUUAGCAAUGAAAUAUUUAGAUGUGCAUGUGCAUGUAACGAGCUACCUUCUUACAUAACAAUCAUGUUGAUUAGAGAAGGGGAAAAAAGCUCGAGCAAUUAAUCUGUACAAAAACAUUAAAACUCUAUGGUUUCGCAUGUAGAAUUUGUAAUUUUAAUUUCUUCCUGCCCCUUUAAUCCAUCAUGGACAUAACAAAAUGCCAGCAAAUCCUAAAUGUAUCACCCUUCUGGACAAAGUGGCACACAUAAUACCAUCACUAUGAUCAUGUGCAGAAUAAGAAACACUAAGUAUUAUAUGUUGCAUUGAGAUCAAACCAGGAUGACACUUACCCUUCUGGAUAAGCUCAUGUACCCGAGGCCAAGGACCCAACCAUGCCCUGGCCUGACUCUGCAGCCACACCGAAGGACAAGCACGCUGGCGAUGCGGAGGCCAGUAACCCAGCCGAGCAUCCAGCCACGCUCGAUACCGAGUCUGCAGCAACGCCCUGGCCCAACCCAUGUGCCCAGCGCCGUCCUCUGUCGUAGCCACGGUGUCACCCUCCACCGCAUCCGCACAUGGGCCCGAGCAUGCCACAUCACUGCCGAACAAACCCUCUUCAGCCGAGCCGCCGCCCUUUGCCGUAGCAUCACCUGAGCACACCUAUGUGACAUGCCACGACCCCUCCGCAUCCAAGCCAUGGGAAAUUGAGUUGCCAACUGGAAAUUUGAGUUACUAAAGAAAGGAAGAUACCCAAAAGAGAGAUAACCUAUAGCAUAAUAUUAGUGAAUACACAUCCAUCGAAAGAUCAUCAUCACUGAAGUAGUAUUCCGUACAAUUUUGGAACAUAUAAACACGACAUUAAGGUGCUACUUUUCAGCAAAUAAAGAGUUCAGAGUCAGGGCGUUAUACUACAGAUAAGCAGUAUAGUCUGAGUUAAUAGUUGUCCAACUAAAUAUGGGUAUUUGAAAUCCGAAGGACCAAAUUUUCUAGUGAUGCCAUAUCCAUGUUCAUUUGUUUGUUUCAUAAAAUCAGGAUACUGUAGAAAGGAGGUGAUAGAACAUUAAAGGAAGCCCAUGUUCAGCGAGAUUUUAGAAUGUAUGAAUAACAAAAGGUACCAUUAGCAUUUCUUAUAGCAAGCAACUUUCUAUUAGAGAUAUAUAUGAUUAUAAUAUGCAAAUUUGAUGGGCAACAUGACUAAAUUAAGUUCAUGACGCCAUCAUGGUGGCAAUAUUUAUGCGCUAGAAACUUAAAUAUGCUACCCGACCUUGCAAUCUCGUGUAGAAAACAACUCAACUUGACGAAUUCAAAUUGGAAACAUAACCAAAAGACCUAGAGACCAUACCCGCUGCCUUGGGUUAAUCCCCGUCUUCAUCCUCCUUGUCGGUAAAAAGAUUCUUGCCGAAAACACCUAACAACUGAUUAGUAAGAUUGGAAGCCAUGGCACUCCAAAAUCCAACCGCAAUCAAUAUACAUGAUGGCAGAUGGCUCAGUAUAAGACAAGCCAAGAUGGCAGAUGGCUCAGUAUAAAACACCUAACAAUUUUUACAUUAGACAAGCAGAAACUGAAAAUGUAGAGGCAACAUGUAUAUACAAUAGUUAGCUUACACUCUUGCAUACCAAAACAUAUGAUUUGAUCACUUCCAAGUUCGAACAUUACCUUGUCUAGUUCAUCAGAUAGAAAAACAUUACCUUGUCUAAGACCUGACUUCUGAUAACAUGUAGGUGCAGACCUUUGCUUCAUAUACACUUUCUGAAGUAGGAUUUGGAUCUGGAAGGUUAUAGAACUUCAGUUCAAUUAGAAAAUCUUGAUAAUAUCACAAGGAAUAGGAAGAAACCAUUAAAAAUAUGUGACUGCAUCCUAACUCGUGCCUCUCCAAAUUAAAUCAUGUCACUCACCUGAAGAACUUCCAGAUUGCGGAGAAUACCACAAUUUACGCCGUCUUCUACUAAAAACUCUGUGCAAGCUCCUGUCCUUCUCUAGCUGAUUACAUCAUCUAAACCAGAUUAAAUUUUAUUAGUUUACCCAUGCUAAAUUAUGUAUCAAAACCAAGGUAAGAACUUUUCAAAGGUAAAGAAGUAUAGAACAACAUGUAGCCUGAUCUUCCCAAAACACGCACUAAGCAGAAUAUUGAUGAUAGGGGUGGAGAUGGGAAGGUGUUAUGACCGUCUAUAUUACAGCCCAGGCAGUUAUGGGCCUGGCCCAGUUAUCUUAUCAUUAUUAGGGGCUUAGCCCAGUUAUUGGUGACUAUCAAAAGAUGAGUCUAUCAGAAGUCUACAUUAGACACUCUUGUGCACCAAGCAUCGAUAAUUUGUUCAAACAUUACCUUGUUCUAGCCGGCAUGCAGCAAGCAUUUCAUUUCCCUGUCUAAUUUUGGGAAUUUUAGGCCUACCACUCUUGUGCACCAUACUGACAAAAUAGAAGACAAAAAACGUCCUGGUAAUUUUUCACCUUGAAUGCUAAUCAUGUUUUACAAAUGCAAUUAUGUUUUGGAGCAGAAAUUAUGCAUGUUUGGGAAUUGAUUAGUGGUAAGUAAGAGAAGAGGUUAAUUAUUAUUACCGCGAGGACUUUCUUGUACUCGGAGAUGAUGAAGGGGACGUAGUCGUGGAUCUCAAACUGCUGGGACCUAGCGGAGAAGGGCACCAGGAAGUAGUUGUUGACGAAGUCGUUGCCGCCGAGCGUGAUGAGCACCAGCGACUGGCUCACGCGCUCCCUCGCCGCGUCCUCGCCGAUGUACGCCGCCAGCCUCCGCUGGUAGUCUUGGAAGUUUUGCAACUGCUGCGCGAUCCUGAUGUGUUCACCUGCACACGCACACGUACACGUACAACAUUAUUGUCAUCUCCGUUGCAUUAUUGUAGAUACGUAUACCUGAUUCGAGCAUGUGUGCGUGCGCGCGCGUGGAGCUUGCGAAUUGCACGCCUGUGUCGUUGAGGAUGCCGAUGCCAGCGGACACGAAGUUGGCGCCGACGAGCAGGUUCUCGCCGCACAUGUAGGGGCUCAGGUACGGUAGCGCGGACUCUGCCCCGAGGUACUCGCCUGAUCAAACAUGUGGCAAUGUCAAGAACUACUCUCCCAACCGAAAGAGAAAUGGUGCAGCGGGGAGGAUAACGUACUGAUGAUGUCGGGGAAGGACCGGGGGGGUGACCUUGCAGGUGGGCGUCAAUGCUGUAGAGGUUGCCGGUGUCAUCGCCGUCCAAGGAGGUGCAAGUCCGUCGGAGGGACAGAGAUGGCCAGCGGCGAGUGCUUGUACCCGUGGAGGCUAGGCAUUGUAUCAAUGUAGCUGCAACCGUCGAUGGUGUCGAAGCGUAACAUGCGGUUCGCGCGAUUGGCCAAAAUGACCUGCUCUCCGAGGCCGUGGGCAAGAAAUGAAGACAACGAGGAGACCUUAUGGAGUAGGAGACUCCGCUCAUGUCCGACGAUCCUUCUCUCCUGGGAGGGUAAUAAGGACAAAAAUUAGAUCGAUUGAACUUCCAAGGUUGGUUAGUAUGAAGUGAGGUUCCUGAAACCCGCAUACGUCGGUGAAUCACGUGAGGUUCUUAAAACAUUUGCAUGACCAGGUUAGUAUGAAGCUUCAGAAAAUAAGUGCAUCACGUGAAGUUCCCUAAGUGAGUACGUUUACCUCUAUAUAUUUGACUAACAACAUGACAGGUUAUGUGUGCUAUUAUGAACAAAAUACAAUGAAUAAAUUGAUGGAUCGAUAUGGUUGCUUCACUUUACUUCCUAAUAAGUGGAUUUCUUUUCCUGAACAAAUUGACUGCUGAUUUCAGGCAGUAGGAUAGAUGUUAAGCAAGCAGAUAUAUAAACCCGAGAGCACAAGACAAGAUCAUGCGCGUAUUGUAACGGGAAAGAUGUGAAUUACUUAACAACGUAUCCAAACGAAGCAGAUCGAAGACACACGUACGUAGUAUACAAAUCCAAUGAGCAACACCAAAAUCACAUAAGUACGCAUCCAAAUUAACCUUGAUGGGGAAGGAAGGAAAUUAAGAUGGAGAAAGCACCUUACCUUGGCGGUGGCUGGAACGGUCACGACGGCGGCGGCUAGCUAGGUAUUCGCGGGCGCUCGCUCUGGAAACGGACGGAGCCCAGGAGGCGCCUCGCCUUGACGCGCGUGGCGGGUUCCUCACGGCGCGGAGGUGGAGGCGACCAGAGCCGGCGGCGGCGCGGCGCCGAGGUUGGUGCGACAGCGAGCUCGGGCGGUGAGGCGGCGGGGCAGAAGCUACAGGAGACGGCGGCGGGGACCUCGAGGACGAGCUCAGGCCAUGGCUUCCCUGGCUCCAGAGGCCGUGGCGGCGCCGAACGUAGCGGCGGGGCGAGGAGGACGAGGAGGAGGUCGGCCGUCGGGGAGGCAGGAGCUCCUCGUCCCCUCGAUCCAGAUCGGGAUCGAGGAGGCAGCAACAGGGGCGCGAGGGAGCGGGCGACCCGCGGGCGGCGGUCGGGCGUAAGUUUAAUUUCGUAGGUUAACCGUCGUAGAUUUUUUUAGGACGAUUUUCUGUCGAUAAACCGUAGUGUUUCACAACUGGCAUCGUGGGAGCAUACCGAUUUUUAUUUCCUGGUUCGAGGGCGGAGGGGGGAAUCGAGGGGAUACGGGAGGUGGGAUCGAGGACGAAAAAACCCGUCUCUGAUGGGACGAGAAUUGACCGACGGAGACUACCAACUACUCCAUUAGAAAUAGAGAUGAGUAGCAGGAGUAGAAGAUUUUAAGGUUUCAAUCAAAUUUAAAUGAAGCGGUAGAAGUGACAAAUAGAGUGAGGUGUGCAUCGUAGUGAAUCAGAGCAUCUAUUCCCUCCGUCCGCGAAUAAGUGUACAUCUAGCUUUUGUUCUAAGUCAAAGUUUUUAAAAUUUUGACUAACUUUAUAGAGAAUAGUAGUAACAUAUAUUCCCUCCGUUCCUAAAUAUUUGUCUUUUUAGAGAUUUCAACAAGUGACUACAUACUGAGCAAAAUGAAUGAAUCUACACUAAAAUAUGUUUAUAUACAUCCGUAUGUGGUAGACCAUUUGAAAUCUCUAAAAAGACAAAUAUUUAGGAACGGAAGGAGUAUGACAUAAAAUUGCUAUAUUAUCAAAGUACAUUUCAAGAUGAAUCUAGUGAUACUAAUUUGGUGCCAUAAAUGCUUUUACUUUUUCCUAGAAAGGUGGUCAAAGUUUUAAAACUUUGACUUAAGACAAAAACUAAGGUUUCCUUUGGUUUAGAGGAAUUUCAUAGAAACUCUAGAGGAUAGGAUUCUUAUAGGAUUUUUUCCUUUAGAGCUCUUUGGUUCAUAGGAAUGGAUUUCUAUUCCUAUAUAGGAUUGGUUCCUAUCCUUCAUAUUUCAUAGGAAAAUAAAAAAAGCCUAGACUUAAUGAAAAAAUUCCUUUGGUGUCAAUCAAAUGACAUCUUGUUUUCUAUUCCUACUCAUGGGAUUUGAGAUACAUGUCAUCUUAUUUUCUACAAGAUUCCUAUUCCUAUAAUAAUCCUAUCCUAUGAACCAAAAGAAGCCUAAAUGUAUACUUAUUCGUGGACGGAGGGAGUAUAUCAGAUCUCGUAUAAGAAGGAUGGUGAUGAGUAGUUAGUUUUAGGUUCUCGUAUGUGUCAAGUUUGUGAUGAACUCUAUCUUAAUUCCUGCCAAAUAUUUGCGACGGGAAAUGCUAUGUUUAAAUUAUGCAAUGCAUGUUAGAGAAUUCAUUCUGUUGUGCCGUGCGCGGUACCGCAAAAUUGAUUUACGGUAUCCCAUAAACAAAUUUUAUGGUAUCAAGUAAGAGAUAUCUCUAACCUGGUUAAGAAGCGACAAACUGAAGUCAGUAAGAUUAGCCGAUUGCAGAACAAAGCUGGACAUGCCAUGGCUGCGAUAGGACUCGCACAUCGUGUUGGCUAGCAAAUGUACCACCGGAGAUUAGCACUACCAUUAAAGAUGAUUGUAAAAACUGUUACCAUUUGAUUAAUGAAUGUUUUCGCCCGCAAAAAAAGUUUAGCGGAUGCUCUUAGUUUGGUGGGAAGCAAGGUCGGCAAACGUGUCGGCUGCGAGUUGCGGCUGGCUUUGAGACGCGUACGACGUCCGUCCACAUUUUGCCUUUGCUGCCAAGGGGACCUCACACCGUCCGUUUUUUAGGCAAGGUGGGCACCGAAACACGCCGACCCUGCGUGAUCCUGAUCCUGAGCGUGUAAGUUUGUACAGCUCGCGCGUAAAAGUAGAACCCAUCAAUGAUCGAUGGCGACGCUUUUGGUGCGUGCGUGCUGCUUCAACGGUGUGAACUGGGUACAUGCAAUGCAACCAAAAGCUCUCGUGUAGACCAUCACCGACCUGCUGCAGCUGCACGUAUAAACAGACGGACAGACAGACGUACGCGUAACGGCCAUUGCUAAACAUAGAGAGCUGGCUAGCGCUGGCGACCCAUUUCGCCGUUGCUUCGCCGCGAAGCCAGGGCGUUGGACACGCGCACUGCCGCGCAAAGGCCAAAACGGGUCCACGUUUAACGCCGGCUCUCACGCCCCACCCGUGACACUUGCUUCUUUUGCCAAAUAGACACAUGGCCCGGUUAGCUGCACAGGAAUACAACGCACGCUAUUCAGUUACCGCUUGGAAUAAGCGGUUAGCUAUCUCGAAAACAAUCAACAACACGCUACUCAGUUUUGUUGUCGACGCCGGCGGCUGCCGGCCGCUGGAUGUUCUUUUCUUUGCCUUAUAAUCACCGGUCGGUCACCAGCUCAUGCUCAUGCACCGGUGAUUUGUUCCUUCCUUGUGAUCGGUAGAUGGCACGCCGCCGUUGGACCGUGUCACGCACGUACCACAUCAAUCAAAACUAAAAAUAUAUUAUUCGAUGCCUCGCUUGUACCUACCUGCGCCCACGGCGGCUUGUGGCCCAGCCAAGCACAGCUGUUGCGCAUUCGUCCGAAAGAGAAAGCGAUAUGUACACAUAAUUCUUCACUUAUUUAUUAAUCUUUGUCAGGGAUCAUGUGUCCUUCAACUGCCAUGGGCCUACACGAGUUACACUGUUAAUUACUAGUAGUAGUACUA